UAAAAUCCGUAGAUAUCACUAGGAAUACCGAAAGCGAAGGCGAUCUGCUGGGACAUUACUGACGCUGAGGCGUGAAAGCGUGGGGAGCAAACAGGAUUAGAUACCCUGGUAGUCCGCGCCCUAAACGAUGAAUGCUAGUCGUCGGGGAGCUUGUCUCUUCGGUGAUGCACUUAACAGAUUAAGCAUUCCGCCUGGGGAGUACGGUCGCAAGAUUAAAACUCAAAGGAAUAGACGGGGACCCGCACAAGUGGUGGAGCAUGUGGUUUAAUUCGAAGAUACGCGAAGAGCCUUACCUGGCCUUGACAUCCCAAAAACUUUCCAGAGAUGGAUUGGUGCUAGCUUGCUAGAAUUUGGUGACAGGUGCUGCACGGCUGUCGUCAGCUCGUGUCGUGAGAUGUUGGGUUAAGUCCCGCAACGAGCGCAACCCUCGUCCUUAGUUGCUAACAGUUCGGCUGAGCACUCUAAGGAGACUGCCUUCGCAAGGAGGAGGAAGGUGAGGACGACGUCAAGUCAUCAUGGCCCUUACGGCCAGGGCUACACACGUGCUACAAUGGGGCGUACAGAGAGUUGCGAUACCGCGAGGUGGAGCUAAUCUCAUAAAGCGUCUCUCAGUUCGGAUUGUUCUCUGCAACUCGAGAACAUGAAGCUGGAAUCACUAGUAAUCGUAGAUCAGCAAUGCUACGGUGAAUACGUUCCCGGGUCUUGUACUCACCGCCCGUCACACCAUGGGAGUUGAUUUCACCCGAAAUCGGGAUGCCAAACUGGCUACCGCUUACGGUGGAAUUAGCGACUGGGGUGAAGUCGUAACAAGGUAACCGUAGGAGAACCUGCGGCUGGAUCACCUCCUU
rnacentral:rRNA from 1 species